rnacentral:lncRNA from 1 species
AUCAUUUUACACUGCUUUAACAUUGCCGGCCUGCUUACAUUUUAGCUUUUAUACUAAAGGAAACCAAACGACGUCCCUUCGUUGAGCCACGUCGUCAAUUUUUCAUACGAGUUUUCUUUUUCUCACAUGGCCUCUAUUCCCUUUCACAUGGUCCCACAUGGACUCUAUAUUCAUAGGCCAUAUACUUGCCUAUUUUACAUCCCCUCUCUCUUCCCUCUCUCUCUACAUUUCUUUCUAUCCCAACACACGCACGCAUGGGCUCACAUGACCUUUUGUCCAGGAGGCAUGUAUUUGCUCUUCAAUUAACAAAGUCAUCUCUCCCCUCUCUUUUCCCCCUCUCUCUCUCUCUACAUUUUUUUCUAACCCAAGACAUACACGCACAAAGAAAUUUAG